rnacentral:rRNA from 1 species
AUGGACAUCCCCGACCACCUCCUCGAACAGAUCUUCCUCCGCCUGCCCGACCUGGCCGAUCUCGCCCGCGCCUCCGCGGCCUGCGUCUCCUUCCGCCGACUCGCCAUUGACGGAUCCUUCCCCCGCAGAUUCUGCCGCCUCCACGCACCACUGCUUCUUGGCUUCCUCGAUCCGGACGGGUACCACCCAGCCCUGCCGCCUAACCACUCCGCGCCCGCGGCCUGCGCGCUCACCCUCGCCGCUGACUUCUCCUUCGCCUUCCUCCCUUCCCACUGCCGCUGGACCGUCCAGGACGUCCGCGACGGCCGCGUCCUCCUCAACCGCGGCCCCAGAGAAGAUGAGCGGUCUCCGGUCUUCCGCGAGCUCGCGGUGUGCGACCCCUUGCACCGGCGGUACGUCCUGCUCCCCCCGGUACCUCACGACCUAGCCGCUUCGCUUGAGCACUCGUUCCCCAUGGCCCGCGAUGUGCGGUGCAAGCCCUUCCUCAUUCCCCUCGGCGUGGAGGAGGCAGCGGCGGGAGAGACAACAUUCAGAGUCAUCUUGAUGGCACAGUGCGAAACUAGUCUGUCUGCCUUCAUCUUCUCUUCGAGCACCGGACAAUGGCAAACUAUUGCAUCCAAGGAUUUGAGUGAUUUGGGCCUUGAUAGGUUCGAGUCGAUCACCAUGUCACAUGGCCCCAUUUCUUGUCAGAGGCGCCAUUAUGCUUAUGGCCGCUUCUACUGGGACUGGGCUGUGAUAAGCAUAAAUAAGUUGCUCGUGUUUGACACCAUGAGGAUGGAAUUCUCUGUUGCUGACCUCCCACCUGGAGAUUGGACUGGGCAAGGUUUAGUCUUUGUGGAGGCAGGGGAAGGCAGGCUUGGGAUGUUUGGUUUCGAUGGUGAAUUUGCAUCUCAUCUCAGCUAUACCAUUGCGCAAAACGAAAGCGGGAGUCCUAGCCAGUGGCAGGUGGAGAAGUCAAUCUCACUAGAUUCUAGGUACAAAUAUCUUAUCAGAGAUGCAACACAGAAGUACUUGCUCUUCACAAGGAGAAAAACCUCACCUCUAGAGAAGUUACUCUUUGAAUAUUUCUCACUGGAUGUCAAGACGAUGCAGCUUCAGAUGGUUUGUGCAAAGCAAUGCACGCUUCAUACACUCAUAUACACCAACUUCCCACCAUCGUUGUUGUCUUUGCCGACAAUAUGA